UAGGGAAUCUUCGGCAAUGGACGGAAGUCUGACCGAGCAACGCCGCGUGAGUGAAGAAGGUUUUCGGAUCGUAAAGCCCUGUUGUUAGAGAAGAACGUUGGUAGGAGUGGAAAAUCUACCAAGUGACGGUAACUAACCAGAAAGGGACGGCUAACUACGUGCCAGCAGCCGCGGUAAUACGUAGGUCCCGAGCGUUGUCCGGAUUUAUUGGGCGUAAAGCGAGCGCAGGCGGUUCUUUAAGUCUGAAGUUAAAGGCAGUGGCUUAACCAUUGUACGCUUUGGAAACUGGAGGACUUGAGUGCAGAAGGGGAGAGUGGAAUUCCAUGUGUAGCGGUGAUGCGCGUAGAUACAUGGAGGAACACCGGUCGCGAAGGCGGCUCUCUGGUCUGUAGCUGACGCUGAGGCUCGAACGCGUGGGGAGCAAACAGG
rnacentral:rRNA from 1 species